GAGCCGGGCGGGCCGGGGGGACACCAGCUGUCCCGAGGGCUGCAGGCGCCAGAACCAGGGGCCUGUGGCGGAACGAGGGGCGGGCGUGGGGGCAGGAGAUGGCAAGAGGCCUUCGCCCUCAGAGCGCGUGGCUGGGAGACAGCGCUGGCUCUCUGUGUCCCGCGGCUGGCGGAGCAAGUCCGCCUGGGUUUUAAGGGUGCAGUGGCUCUGGGGUGAGCAGCUCUCCUAGGCUUUGCCUUGUGUUUUUAGCACUGAAAGUCCUGCAUCCUGGGAACCCCCACAGGCGUGGUGGGUCAUCCUAAGGGGGUAGGAAGCCAACUCUAUGGGGUCAGGGGAGAUCUGGAGUGACUCACCUUUGAAGAAGAAGAUUUCACCACGGAUGUUAGCGAUAGCGUCAAAAUUGCCAUCACAUCGGUCAGGGAUGGGAAGAGAGGGGCUACAAAGGAAAGGAGAGGUCCUGGGCUGCCUCCCUGCCUCUGCAGCUUCAUCCAUCUCCUCGGGCAGACACUCAGACCAGUCUGCUGGCCCUGGAGGCCAGCCUCGUUCCCAGCCUCUCUGACCACAGCCUCUUCCUUGGGGACCAGCCCGGGUGCCAGGAGUGAGCCUCUUCACACUCCCAGUUGCUGGCCAAGUCCCAGCUCCUCAUCGAUCCACCUGCUAGCUCCUACUUCAGCCGCUGAGAGGCCAAGAGAGCAAGACUGCAAGACAGCCAGAGAGGUGGGAAACUGAGGCACAGGGAGGUCAAGUCAAAUGACAGUAUAGCCAAGUACUCUGGCCGUACUGUCCUGCCUUUCAGCAGCGACUUCAGAUGGUCUUGGUCAAACUGUGUACGUGUUGAUGGAUUUGGUCGUUGACUGUGGGUUUUCUUAUUGCCCUGAGGCCUUUUUCUGAGAAACUGGAGGAAGCUGGGUGUCUACAUCAAGUAGAUCUCCUUCAUCCCUCACCCCUCCUCCCCCUGCUUUGCCUCUCCUUUGGCCACACCCUUCCUUGCACCCUUCUCACGCUCUGCAGCUGGGGGAAGACACACAACUGCAGCCCCAGCCCCAGCCCAUGAGAUUCCUGGUGGCCAGUCUUCGGGGGUCCUAAACACCUCCUCUCAGCUCUGCUCUGGACCUCAUCAGACAGCUCCUUUGCGCUCUCCACUAGCCUCAAUUCCAGGCCCACAGCCCCUCAAGCUGCUCCCCAGCUCUGGCCCCCAACUCUUAGGUGAAAAAUGCUGACAAAUGUGUUUCCUAUUUCAUCAAGACAGACCAUCCGAUGCAAUCUGUAACUUCCUGUGUGCCUGGGCAGAUACCUCCGCCUCCUCCAUUCUCGCCUCCUACCUCCUGCCCUGCCCUGUGCAAGGACCCUGCUUCCCUUACCUCCUCAAGGACAAGGACAAUGCCCCACCCACCCCUCCAUCCAUCCCUGCAUCCCUGCACCCAUGUGUCUAUCCAUCCACCCAUCCUUCCAUCCAUCCAUCCAUCCGUCCAUCUAUCCAUGUAUGAAUCCAUUCAUCCAUCCCCCAUCUCUUUCUUUCUGUUGGCUCAUCCAGCAUCACCAAGUGCUCAAGAUUCCCUCAUCCUAAGCCACCCCAGUACCUAUCUGCCCCCAUCCACACCCCUCUCCUUCCCUAGCAAGUUCUGUGGUCAGUGGUCUAAACUCAGUCUUCUCUUCCUCGGUCCCUCUCAUGCCUAACCUCACUGUGGUCGGGACUCUUUCCCCACCCGCCAAGUCUGUAGGCACUAAGGUCACUUUGUCCUCAGAUGAUCACAUCCAGGCCCCUGUAACUUACUGGCCUGGCUUGCUGCCCUGCCCACUGCUCCCUGUUCCCCUCGUCACCCUGUUCCUGGUCACCUGUGGGCCUGUUCUUCCUCCAUUUCCUUUGGUUCCUCCUCUCCUUCUACCCUCCCCUCAACUGUGGGGCUCUCCACAGCUCUGUGCUUGACCUUCACGUUCUACACUCUCCUCCUGGAACCUACCACCCCCCAAGUGCCACCAGGCCACUCUGCAGUGAGCAGAGUGCUCCUGCGUGCGGGCCCUGUGCCGACCGCUGUAGGUGAAUUACAAGCCCACCUGCCGGCAGGUACUAUUAUAAUCCCCAUUUCUCAGAUGAUGAAACUGAGCACGGCGUAGCAAGUGGAGGAACCCUGACCGGAGUUUCGCUGCAAGCUGGCGUGCUCAAAUGCUCACUUCUGUGGAUGCUGUGGGCACCUCGCCCAAGUCAGUGCCCGUGUGCUCAUUCCCUGGCUGCCCCCUUCCCCAGAAAACCGCUCUCCCUCCUGGCCGGCCUCCCUGCCGCGGCUCACAGCCAACGGCGGAUUGCUGAGGGACUAGAAGAGCUGGACCCCUUGCCUCCAGGCAGGACCAGCCGUGUGGGUCAGGCUCCUCUCAGCUGAGACCGCAUCCUGACUAAGCUUCUUUCCCCAGCUCGCUCUGGUUUCCCUUUUCCCUACCAACAUAUCCUGAGAAACUGCUUGCACAAGAACUUUCAUCUUGAUCUCUACUUACAGGGAAGCUGACCUAAGUGAGAGAAGCCCCAGUUCUAGAGUGAGACACUCGACCACGAAUGCACCGCCCACACUGAACGGCCCAUGAGCGCUGCAAACACGCAGCCAACCUAAACUCCCCUCUGCCCUCCGAGAGCCUGCUCUUCCUCCUCCAGGGGCCCCUGAGUCAGAAACCUAGCCAUCACCCCUUCCUCCCCAUCCCCUCUGCCCCCAGGAUCCGGUUAGAUCCCAGUCUUGCCCACCCUGACUCAACUGUCCUCUGACCCACAUCGCCCAGCACCAUCCCUUUCCUGGACCCUCCAGAAUGCAAGACCUUCCACGGCUCCCGUUCCCUUCCCCGAUCCUCCCCAUUCUGUCCCCGUGCUUCCAAGGCCCUCUUGUUAUGAGACACACACUCUCCGUCCCGGCACCGUAUUUCGGCCUUCCAGCCCCCCAUGUCCCCCUGUGCUCCUACCCCUGACAACCCUGGACUCAGCUAGCUCACAGGCUUGUGCUUUUCUCUGCGUCCUCCCCGCAGCCCUACAUGCCCCGGGGCAACAGGACCUGGUGUGCUAGUUGGCCCUCAGUAUACACAUGUGGGAUGAAUAAAGUCACCACUUCUAGGAAGCCCCAUCAGUCAAAGGCUUUGGGUAGCCUCUGAGCACCACAGGCUGGAGGACUUCCUCUGCUAGGAUUCCCCCAAGUUGUGUCACCGUGUGUAGCAACUGCCAGUUAGUCUUCUGACUCAGCUGCUGCAAGGGGCUGUUUUCACCUCUUUUAGUCCGCAGCUCGGAGCGGGACGCCUGAGAGGCCUCAGUGAUGGGUAAUGUUCUGUGUCAACUUAGUCAGACUAUGGUGCCCAGUUGUUUAGUCAAACACCAGUCUAGAUGUUGUUGUGUAGGUUAUUGUGUAGACGUAAUUAACAUCUACAAUCAGUUGACUGUAAGUAAAGCAGAUCAUGCCCCAUGGUGGGUGGGUCUUGUCUAAUCAGUUGAAGGCCCGGAGAACAAAACCUGAGGUUUCCCAGAGAGAAAGGAAUUCUGCCUCAAGAUUGCAACAUAGAAAUCAUGCCUGGUUUCCAGCCACCUCACUUGCUCUGCAGAUACCAGACUCAGGACUGCAGCAUCCACUCUCACUUGAAUUUCCAGUCUGUGGGCCCGUCCUAUAGAUUUUGGGUUUGCCAGCCUCCACAAUCCUGUGAGCCAAUUCCUUAAAUAAAUCACUUUGCACACACACA